GACGAACGCUGGCGGCGUGCUUAACACAUGCAAGUCGAACGGAAAGGCCCGGCCUUGGUGUGGUGCUCGAGUGGCGAACGGGUGAGUAACACGUGAGUAACCUGCCCUUGACUUUGGGAUAACUUCAGGAAACGGGGGCUAAUACCGGAUAGGAGCUGCUGCUGCAUGGUGGGGGGCGGAAAGGUACGGCGGUUGGGGAUGGACUCGCGGCCUAUCAGCUUGUUGGUGGGGUAGUGGCUUACCAAGGCGUUGACGGGUAGCCGGCCUGAGAGGGUGACCGGCCACACUGGGACUGAGACACGGCCCAGACUCCUACGGGAGGCAGCAGUGGGGAAUAUUGCACAAUGGGCGGAAGCCUGAUGCAGCAACGCCGCGUGCGGGAUGACGGCCUUCGGGUUGUAAACCGCUUUCGGCUGUGAAGAAGCGAGAGUGACGGUACUGGGAAAAGAAGCACCGGCUAACUACGUG
rnacentral:rRNA from 1 species